GACAUAGGUCGCAAACGUUAUCCGGAAUUAUUGGGCCUAAAGCAUCCGUAGCCGGUCCUACAAGUCUUCCGUUAAAUCCACCUGCUUAACAGAUGGGCUGCGGAAGAUACUAUAGGGCUAGGAGGCGGGAGAGGCAAGCGGUACUCAGUGGGUAGGGGUAAAAUCCUCUGAUCCAUUGAAGACCACCAGUGGCGAAGGCGGCUUGCCAGAACGCGCUCGACGGUGAGGGAUGAAAGCUGGGGGAGCAAACCGG
rnacentral:rRNA from 1 species